rnacentral:rRNA from 1 species
AUUGAACGCUGGCGGCAGGCCUAACACAUGCAAGUCGAGCGAGCGGCGGACGGGUGAGUAAUGUAUGGGGACUGCCCGAUAGAGGGGGAUAACUACUGGAAACGGUGGCUAAUACCGCAUCCUAUCGGAUAACCCAUAUGGGAUUAGCUAGUAGGUAAGGUAAUGGCUUACCUAGGAGACGAUCCCUAGCUGGUCUGAGAGGAUGAUCAGCCACACUGGGAAGUAGACACGGCCCAGACUCCUACGGAGGCAGCAGUGGGGAAUAUUGCACAAUGGGCGCAAGCCUGAUGCAGCCAUGCCGCGUGUAUGAAGAAGGCCCUAGGGUUGUAAAGUACUUUCAGUCGGGAGGCGUUACCGACAGAAGAAGCACCGGCUAACUCCGUGCCAGCAGCCGCGGUAAUAC